AGCAGCCGCGGUAAUUCCAGCUCCAAUAGCGUAUAUUAAAGUUGUUGCAGUUAAAAAGCUCGUAGUUGAAUUUCGGGAUUAAUAUGUUGGUCGUGCCUUGGUACGUACUGGCAUUAUUGAUUCCUACCUUCUGAAGAACCUCGAUGUCAUUAAUUUGGUGUCUUGGGGAAUCAGGACCGUUACUUUGAAAAAAUUAGAGUGUUUAAAGCAGGCUCGCGCUUGAAUACAUUAGCAUGGAAUAAUGAAAUAGGACGUUUGAUUCUAUUUUGUUGGUUUCUAGGAUCGACGUAAUGAUUAAUAGGGAUAGUUGGGGGCAUUAGUAUUCAAUUGUCAGAGGUGAAAUUCUUGGAUUUAUUGAAGACUAACUACUGCGAAAGCAUUUGCCAAGGAUGUUUUCAUUAAUCAAGAACGAAAGUUAGGGGAUCGAAGACGAUCAGAUACCGUCGUAGUCUUAACCAUAAACUAUGCCGACUAGGGAUCGGAUGAUGUUAAUUUUUUAAUGUACUCAUUCGGCGCCUUA
rnacentral:misc_RNA from 1 species